AAGUCGUAACAAGGUUUCCGUAGGUGAACCUGCGGAAGGAUCAUUACAAAUCUCUGAUACCCACGAUAGUGAGAAUAAGUAAAAAAUUCUCACAUCGAAUUACCAUUACCUAUUGACACUUGUAUAUUUACACAAACUAAGCAAAGAAAACCUUUUAACAAUGGAUCUCUUGGCUCUU
rnacentral:misc_RNA from 1 species